GCUCCUUUAGCUCAGUUGGUAGAGCGUCAGUCUCAUAGACAUAUAAUUUCAGGUUAUCUGAAGGUCGAGAGUUCGAACCUCCCAGGGAGCA
rnacentral:tRNA from 1 species